rnacentral:rRNA from 1 species
GCAAGGGCGUAUGGUGGAUGCCUUGGCAGACAGGACCGAUGAAGGACGUUUGAGGCUGCGAUAUGCCUCGGGGAGCCGCCAACAGGGCUUUGAUCCGAGGAUUUCCGAAUGGGGGAACCCACCGACCGUCAUGGGUCGGUACCGGCUUCGGCCGGGGGGUACGCAGGGAAGUGAAACAUCUCAGUACCUGCAGGAAAGGAUAUUCCGUGAGUAGUGGCGAGCGAAAGCGGAUGAUGGCCAAACCUUGCGCGUGUGAUACCCGUCGGGGGUUGCGCGCGGGGUGUUGCGGGAUCGCGUGCGCCGGCUCCGACGGGCCGGCCGGCAGUUGCAGAAAACCAUGUGUCAGGGGAACCGGGUUGAAUACCGGGCCGCAGAGGGUGAGGGCCCCGUACCUGAACGCGCAUGGUCUGCCGAUCGCGUCUCCCAAGUAGCACGGGUCCCGUGGAACCCCGUGCGAAUCCGCCCAGACCGUUGGGUAAGCCUGAAUAUUCCUGUCUGACCGAUAGCGAACGAGUACCGUGAGGGAAAGGUGAAAAGUACCCCGGGAGGGGAGUGAAACAGUCUCUGAAACCGUGCGCCUACAAUCCGUCGGAGCCCUUUUGUGGGGUGACGGCGUGCCUAUCGAAAAAUGAGUCUGCGAGUCAGUGGCAUGUGGCGAGCAUAACCCGUGUGGGGUAUGCGUAGCGAAGGCGAGUCUUAAAAGGCGUUUGAGUCGCGUGUCCUGGACCCGAAGCGGGAUGAUCUAGCCCUGAGCAGGUUGAAGCGCGGGUAAGACCGCGUGGAGGACCGAACCCACCUGGGUUGAAAACCGGGGGGAUGACUUGGGGCUAGGGGUGAAAGGCCAAUCAAAUUCCGUGAUAGCUGGUUCUCUCCGAAAUGCAUUUGGGUGCAGCGUCGGGUCAUUACGUCCCGGGGGUAGAGCUACUGGAUGCUUGCGGGCCCGUAUCGGGUACCAACAGCAACCAAACUCCGAAUACCGGUGACGCGUAUCCCGGCAGUGAGUCGGCGGGGGAUAAGCUUCGUCGUCGAAAGGGAAACAGCCCAGACCGUCGUCUAAGGUCCCGAAGCGUGUGCUAAGUGGGAAAGGAUGUGGAGUCGCAUAGACAGCCAGGAGGUUGGCUCAGAAGCAGCCACCCUUGAAAGAGUGCGUAACAGCUCACUGGUCUAGUGGUUCCGCGCCGACAAUGUAGCGGGGCUCAAGCACACCACCGAAGACGCGGCAGUAUUUUGUACUGGGUAGGAGAGCGUCCCAUGAGGGGCGAAGCGGCCGUGUGAACGCGCCGUGGACUUCAUGGGAGUGAGAAUGCAGACAUGAGUAGCGAGAGACGGGUGAAGAUCCCGUCCGCUGGAUGACCAAGGGUUCCAGGGCCACGUUCAUCGUCCCUGGGUGAGUCGGGUCCUAAGGCGAGGCCGACAGGCGUAGUCGAAUGGAUGAACGGGUCGAUAUUCCCGUACCGGCUUUCAGCCGCCAAAACCGAGGCUUGGAGUACUAACCUCCGGGUCCGGGCUUACUGCUCCUUCGGGGGCGGGAUGCCCUGGCCUGUUGGGACCGAUCCUUGUAGUAGGUCAGCGCAGGAGUGACGCAGAAGGGUAGCCGGCCGCGGAGGUGGUCUUCCGUGGUCAAGCACGCAGGGCGUGGGACAGGCAAAUCCGUCCCGCAUGGGUCCGAGGUGCGAUGAUGGGGGUCUUAUGGCCCGAUAUCCGGUGAUCCCGGCUGCCGAGAAAAGCUUCGGCGUCAGGCUCAAAGCCGCCCGUACCCCAAACCGACACUGGUGGUCAGGUAGAGAAUACCAAAGCGAUCGAGCGAAUCCUGGUCAAGGAACUCGGCAAAUCACUCCCGUUCCUUCGGUUUAAGGGAGACCCCCGAUGGUGAACACACUUGCUGUGGGAGCUUUUGGGGCGACCAGGAGCUCGGCGAAAUUGCAGUACGAGUAAAGAUGCUCGUUAAGCGCAGAAGGACGAAAAGACCCCGGGACCUUUACUAUACCUUGGUAUUGGCAUUCGGUGUGGAUUGUGUAGCAUAGGCGGGAGGCCGAGAGGCGCGGUCGCCAGAUCGCGCGGAGCCGUAAGGUGAAAUACCGCUCUGUUCGCAUUGGAUGUCUAACCUCGAACAGUCAUCCUGUUCAGGGACAGUGCCUGGCGGGUAGUUUAACUGGGGCGGUUGCCUCCCAAAGAGUAACGGAGGCGCCCAAAGGUCCGCUCAGCCCGGUUGGCAAUCGGUCCCAAGGGUUCGGCUGUUCGCCGAUUAAAGCGGCACGCGAGCUGGGUUCAGAACGUCGUGAGACAGUUUGGUCUCUAUCCUCUGCGCUCGUUGGAAUGCUGAGGAGGCCUGCCCAUAGUACGAGAGGACCUGGGUGGACGAACCUCUGGUAUGCCGGUUGUCACGCCAGUGGCACGGCCGGUUGGCUACGUUCGGAAGGGAUAACCGCUGAAAGCAUCUAAGCGGGAAGCCUGCUCCAAGAUAAGCAUUCCGUGGAACCUUCGAGUUCCUGUAGUCCCCAUGCAGAACACGUGGUCGAUAGGCCGGACGUGGAAGCCCCGCGAGGGGUGGAGCCGACCGGUACUAACGGACGAAAGGCAACACUA